rnacentral:piRNA from 1 species
UUACAUCAAAAUUAAGUUGGG